UAAAACAGGACAGUUAAGUAGAUAUGUAUUUGGGUUGAACACGUCUAACCUUAACCACAGCUUAAUCAAAGUCUAGACCUCCAUACAUAUGAUUUUUUUUAAAUAUGUGAAAUAUUAAAAAAAUGUAGAAAACAGUGCUAAAAUGUUAAUUUAUUUCAACCAAAUAUAAAUUGCUGUCAGGAAAAAUUCAGCCAUUUUCAACAGUAGACAUGUAAUACAGUGAUAAAUGGAAACAAAUAUAAGUGAACCUUAUUAAAUAUGGGUGAGAUUUAAUAUAAGCACAUUACAGGACUAAAUUAGUGCUUUGAGUGGAUAGUUGGUGGGCCACUUCAGUCAUACUCAAGACACAUAUGACACUAUUAAGAAAAAAAAGAAAGAUGUUACUCAGAAAAAGAAUAAUGCUUUAUUUGCAGAUGGAGAAAACAAAGGCUGGCAGAAUUGCUGAUCUGGAGAAUAUGCAGACUUUCAUUGCCCUCAUGUAUUCAAAUGUGUAAUUAUUGUGAAUGCAUCAGAUCCCUCAAACUGUAGUCUCUGGAGUGCAGACAGAUAAAUUUUUCAUAAUACUUACUUAUGGGACUGGUUCUUAGUCUGCACAGUGAAAUAACCCCUUAAAAGAGCGGGGUUGCAAUAAGUAUAUACUCUACUAAAGAUAUAUUCCACUAAGCAUAGAGGGUCCAUAAAUUUUAAACACCCUCCCUCUAAAUAUAUGGGAAUAACCAAGAAACAUCUAAUUGUCUUCAAGAGGGUAUUUUUGAUAAGUUAGUGCAAUUUAUUCUUGACCAGCCAGGCUUGGAUGCCUAUGUUGCAAUGUGUGUCACAAAUAUCUACAACUUGAUUAACCAAGAGUCAGCCUUAGGCUUAGUUACAGACCAGCCAUGGGGGUGAUGAGCCCCAGAAGCAUCACCAGGUACAUGUAUAUACCAGGGUACGAGGGCUGCUACAACGCUGGGAGGAGAUGGCGUCAACAAGGUGUCCUCUGUGGUGUGCCCAUUGUGCAAGCGGGCCUUUAUGGGAAAGAACCGCAGACAGCACCUGGAGAACCACAUCCUCACCCACACUGGGGAGAAACCAUUCCCCUGCCCACAUUGUCACUACCGUUCAAGUCGCAAGGAUACCCUACACUCCCACUUAAGGAAGUGGCAUCCACUUCAAGAUUAACACUUGGAUCUGUCAUGCCUUCAGGUGUUGAUGUUUGUGGGAUUUUUUUUUUACAUCAUAUUGGAAAUGUUCCUGCUAAGCUAUGUUUGGGGCUAACCAAAACUAAAUUAUCAUAGCAAAACACAAACAAGAAAGACACCACUACUGUUGAGUUUCAUGAAGUUUAUAGUAUAGCUGAAAAAGGAACACUAAGCUAUAGAACCAAUAUUGUGGUGAUGUAGCUACUGGAUUGAUACUCAUCUUGGAAUUAUAGCUUUAUGGCUAUAGAUAACAUUGUGAUAUGGCAGAAUGCAGUUGUCUUUGCAGCUAUUUGUAAUGCUUUUCUUUUAAUUAAUAUAUUGAUCACUUGUAAUUCCUCAGACUUGUUGGUUUGAAACUAUGAGGAGUUUAUACUUGGAGUUAUGUUGUAGACAAGAAGUUGGUUCAGUGUUGGAUAAACAUUAUUGUUGUUCUGUAUGACCAGUGUUGCAACUUAACCACUGACCGAUACUUUUAUAUUUUAGACAUCUUUCUGGAUCCUAAUUUUAACUUUGUUUUUAUAUCAUCGCUUAAUAAAUGAUACAUUAAAA